rnacentral:rRNA from 1 species
AGCAGCAGCCGCGGGAAUACGAAGGGUGCAAGCGUUAAUCGGAAUUACUGGGCGUAAAGCGUGCGUAGGUGGUGGUUUAAGUCCGUUGUGAAAACCCUGGGCUCAACCUGGGAAUUGCAGUGGAUACUGGGUCACUAGAGUGUGGUAGAGGAUAGUGGAAUUUCCGGUGUAGCAGUGAAAUGCGUAGAGAUCGGAAGGAACAUCUGUGGCGAAGGCGACUAUCUGGGCCAACACUGACACUGAGGCACGAAAGUGUGGGGAGCAAACAGGAUUAGAUACCCCAGUAGUCCCUGUCUCUUAUAC